rnacentral:rRNA from 1 species
GUGCCAGCAGCCGCGGUAAUACGGAGGGUGCGAGCGUUAUCCGGAAUCACUGGGUUUAAAGGGUGCGUAGGCGGUCUGAUAAGUCAGUUGUGAAAUUCCUCGGCUUAACCGAGUGGACUGCGAUUGAUACUGUCAGACUUGAAUCAGGUUGAGGUAGGCGGAAUGUGACAUGUAGCGGUGAAAUGCUUAGAUAUGUCAUAGAACACCGAUUGCGAAGGCAGCUUGCUGGGCUUAGAUUGACGCUGAGGCACGAAAGCGUGGGGAGCAAACAGGAUUAGAAACCCCUGUAGUCC